rnacentral:rRNA from 1 species
UACGAAGGGGGGCAAGCGUUGUCCGGAAUUAUUGGGCGUAAAGAGCUCGUAGGCGGUGUGUCACGUCGGCCGUGAAAACCUGCAGCUUAACUGUGGGCGUGCGGUCGAUACGGGCAUCACUGGAGUUCGGCAGGGGAGACUGGAAUUCCUGGUGUAGCGGUGAAAUGCGCAGAUAUCAGGAGGAACACCGGUGGCGAAGGCGGGUCUCUGGGCCGAUACUGACGGCUGAGGAGCGGAAAGCCCAGGGGAGCGAAACGGG